AUUGAACGCUGGCGGAAUGCUUUACACAUGCAAGUCGAACGGCAGCACGGGGGCAACCCUGGUGGCGAGUGGCGAACGGGUGAGUAAUACAUCGGAACGUGCCCAGUCGUGGGGGAUAACGUAGCGAAAGCUACGCUAAUACCGCAUACGAACUGAGGUUGAAAGCGGGGGAUCGCAAGACCUCGCGCGAUUGGAGCGGCCGAUGGCAGAUUAGGUAGUUGGUGGGGUAAAGGCUCACCAAGCCGACGAUCUGUAGCUGGUCUGAGAGGACGACCAGCCACACUGGGACUGAGACACGGCCCAGACUCCUACGAGAGGCAGCAGUGGGGAAUUUUGGACAAUGGGCGCAAGCCUGAUCCAGCCAUUCCGCGUGCAGGAUGAAGGCCCUCGGGUUGUAAACUGCUUUUGUAC
rnacentral:rRNA from 1 species